rnacentral:rRNA from 1 species
GGAAAGAAAUGGGCUACAUUUUCUGACACAGAAAAUACACGAAUAACACUGUGAAACCAGUGUUGAAGGUGGAUUUAGCAGUAAAAGAAAAUAGAAA